rnacentral:rRNA from 1 species
GCUGAAAGGGGCGUCUCCAGACUGAUUCUAAAAGAUAUUGCUUAUGCAACAUUUAUUACAAUCUGGUUCUAAGUUCUUACCGGAAGUGUGAGGACUGUUCCUGAAAUUAAAUCUUCAUCGGUCUGGCAUAAAUCUUAUCUAGACGACUUAACUGGGGAGCGGGUACUGUACGUGUUAGAGCAGAUUCAUUCUGCGAUACAUUGAGGUUCGUCCCGUAUUCCACGAUUUAGUUUAAUCCCUC